rnacentral:rRNA from 1 species
UACGUAGGGCGCAAGCGUUAUCCGGAAUUAUUGGGCGUAAAGAGCUCGUAGGCGGUUUGUCGCGUCUGCCGUGAAAGUCCGGGGCUCAACUCCGGAUCUGCGGUGGGUACGGGCAGACUAGAGUGAUGUAGGGGGAGACUGGAAUUCCUGGUGUAGCGGUGAAAAUGCGCAGAUAUCAGGAGGAACACCGAUGGCGAAGGCAGGUCUCUGGGCCACUACUGACGCUGAGAAGCGAAAGCAUGGGGAGCGAACAGG